UUAAUUGAAACCAAAUAAUGAGGUAAAUUAUUGUUAAUAAUUUUAUAGAAUAGUUUUCCAAUUAAA
rnacentral:tRNA from 1 species